rnacentral:rRNA from 1 species
AUUGAACGCUGGCGGCAGGCCUAACACAUGCAAGUCGAGCGAGCGGCGGACGGGUGAGUAAUGUAUGGGGACUGCCCGUUAGAGGGGGAUAACUACUGGAAACGGUAGCUAAUAACGCAUACUAUCGGAUAACCCAUAUGGGAUUAGCUAGUGGGUGGGGUAACGGCUCACCUAGGCGACGAUCCCUAGCUGGUCUGAGAGGAUGAUCAGCCACACUGGAACUGAGACACGGUCCAGACUCCUACGGAGGCAGCAGUGGGGAAUAUUGCACAAUGGGCGCAAGCCUGAUGCAGCCAUGCCGCGUGUAUGAAGAAGGCCUUAGGGUUGUAAAGUACUUUCAGUCGGGAGGCGUUACCCACAGAAGAAGCACCGGCUAACUCCGUGCCAGCCGCCGCGGUAAUUC